rnacentral:rRNA from 1 species
UACGUAGGGUGCGAGCGUUAAUCGGAAUUACUGGGCGUGAAGCGUGCGCAGGCGGUUCGCCAAGUCAGGUGUGAAAUCCCCGGGCUUAACCUGGGAAUUGCGCUUGAAACUACAAGACUAGAAUAUGUCAGAGGGGGGUAGAAUUCCACGUGUAGCAGUGAAAUGCGUAGAGAUGUGGAGGAAUACCAAUGGCGAAGGCAGCCCCCUGGGAUAAUAUUGACGCUCAUGCACGAAAGCGUGGGGAGCAAACAGG